rnacentral:rRNA from 1 species
CCUACGGGUGGCAGCAGUGGGGAAUAUUGCACAAUGGGCGAACGCCUGAUGCAGCAACGCCGCGUGAGCGAUGAAGGCCUUCGGGUCGGAAAGCUCUGUCCUCAAGGAAGAUAAUGACGGUACUUGAGGAGGAAGCGCCGGCUAACUACGUGCCAGCAGCCGCGGUAAUACGUAGGGGGCUAGCGUUAUUCGGAAUUACUGGGCGUAAAGGGUGCGUAGGUGGUUUCUUAAGUCAGAGGUAAAGGGGUACGGCUCAACCGUAGUAAGCCUUUGAUACUGGGGUACUUGAGUGCAGGAGAGGAGAGUGGAAUUCCUGGUGUAGCGGUGAAAUGCGUAGAUAUUAGGAGGAACACGAGUUGCGAAGGCGGCUCUCUGGCCUGUAACUGACACUGAAGCACGAAAGCGUGGGGAGCAAACAGGAUUAGAUACCCGUGUAGUC